rnacentral:rRNA from 1 species
UGCGUAGGCGGCUCAUUAAGUUAGAGGUGAAAUCCCGUGGCUCAACCACGGCACUGCCUCUAAUACUGGUGGGCUUGAGAAUAGUUGCUGUGGGCGGAAUGUGUGGUGUAGCGGUGAAAUGCUUAGAUAUCACACAGAACACCGAUUGCGAAGGCAGCUCACAAAGCUAUAUCUGACGCUGAGGCACGAAAGCGUGGGGAGCAAACAGGAUUAGAUACCCUGGUAGUCCACGCCGUAAACGAUGAUAACUCGUUGCAGGCGAUAUACAGUCUGUGACUUAGCGAAAGCGUUAAGUUAUCCACCUGGGGAGUACGUUCGCAAGAAUGAA